AACGCAGCGAAGGGCGAUAAGUAAUGUGAAUUGCAGAAUUCAGUGAAUCAUCGAAUCUUUGAACGCACAUUGCGCCCGCCAGUAUUCUGGCGGGCAUGCCUGUUCGAGCGUCAUUUCAACCAUCAAGCCCGGCUUGUGUUGGGGACCCUGCGGCUGCCCGCAGGCCCCGAAAUCCAGUGGCGGGCUCGCUGUCACCCCGAGCGCAGUACACAUCCUCGCUCAGGGCCGUGAGGGCGGGCUCCAGCCGUUAAAGUGACUUUACCCCACAAAACAAGGUUGACCUCGGAUCAGGUAGGGGUACCCGCUGAACUUAA
rnacentral:rRNA from 1 species